rnacentral:rRNA from 1 species
CCUGGGUAAGUCGGGACCUAAGGCGAGGCCGACAGGCGUAGUCGAUGGACAACGGGUUGAUAUUCCCGUACCCGUGUAUCCGCGCCCAGUAGCGAGGCAUCUGUACUAACCAUCCAAAUCCUGAUGGACCACCUUCGGGUGGCCGGACGGUGCUGCAUGGGACCUUGGGUGUAGUAGUUAAGCGAUGGGGUGACGCAGGAAGGUAGUGGGGCCAGUCAGUGGUUGUACUGGUGUAAGCCUGUAGGGCGAGACAUAGGCAAAUCCGUGUCUCAUGCAGCCUGAGAGGUGAUGCGUAGCCGUAGCGGCGAAUUCCAUGAUCCUAUGCUGCCGAGAAAAGCCUCUAGUGAGUUGGUACACGGCCCGUACCCCAAACCAACACAGGUGGUCAGGUAGAGAAUACUAAGGCGAUCGAGUGAACUGUGGUUAAGGAACUCGGCAAAAUACCCCCGUAACUUCGGGAGAAGGGGGACCACGGCCGGUGAACACCUUCACGGUGGGAGCUGGUGGUGGUCGCAGAGACCAGAGAGAAGCGACUGUUUAUUAAAAACACAGGUCCGUGCGAAGUCGUAAGACGAUGUAUACGGACUGACGCCUGCCCGGUGCUGGAAGGUUAAGAGGACCGGUUAGUGACCUUUCGGGGUUGCGAAGCUGAGAAUUUAAGCCCCAGUAAACGGCGGUGGUAACUAUAACCAUCCUAAGGUAGCGAAAUUCCUUGUCGGGUAAGUUCCGACCUGCACGAAUGGCGUAACGACUUCUCUGCUGUCUCAACCACAGACUCGGCGAAAUUGCAGUACGAGUAAAGAUGCUCGUUACGCGCGGCAGGACGAAAAGACCCCGGGACCUUCACUAUAGCUUGGUAUUGGUGUUCGGUUCGGUUUGUGUAGGAUAGGUGGGAGACUGUGAAGCGGUCACGCCAGUGAUUGUGGAGUCGUUGUUGAAAUACCACUCUGAUCGUAUUGGACUUCUAACCUCGGACCCUGAUCGGGUUCAGGGACAGUGCCUGGUGGGUAGUUUAACUGGGGCGGUUGCCUCCUAAAAUGUAACGGAGGCGCCCAAAGGUUCCCUCAGCCUGGUUGGCAAUCAGGUGUUGAGUGUAAGUGCACAAGGGAGCUUGACUGUGAGACGUACAUGUCGAGCAGGGACGAAAGUCGGGACUAGUGAUCCGGCACCUACGAGUGGAAGUGGUGUCGCUCAACGGAUAAAAGGUACCCCGGGGAUAACAGGCUGAUCUUCCCCAAGAGUCCAUAUCGACGGGAUGGUUUGGCACCUCGAUGUCGGCUCGUCGCAUCCUGGGGCNNGGGCUGUUCGCCCAUUAAAGCGGCACGCGAGCUGGGUUUAGAACGUCGUGAGACAGUUCGGUCUCUAUCCGCCGCGCGCGUUAGAAACUUGAGGAAACCUGUCCCUAGUACGAGAGGACCGGGACGGACGAACCUCUGGUGUGCCAGUUGUUCCGCCAGGAGCACCGCUGGUUAGCUACGUUCGGAAGGGAUAACCGCUGAAAGCAUCUAAGCGGGAAGCCUGUUCCAAGAUGAGGUUUCUCACCCCCUCCGAGGGGUUAAGGCCCCCCACAGACCAUGGGGUUGAUAGGCCAGAACUGUACGCACAGCAAUGUGUUCAGGUGACUGGUACUAAUCGGCCGAGGACUUACAACA